rnacentral:rRNA from 1 species
UACGUAGGGUGCGAGCGUUGUUCGGAAUUACUGGGCGUAAAGGGCUCGUAGGCGGCCAACUAAGUCGGAUGUGAAAUCCCCAAGCUUAACUUGGGAACUGCAUCCGAUACUGGAUGGCUUGAAUCCGGGAGAGGGAUGCAGAAUUCCAGGUGUAGCGGUGAAAUGCGUAGAUAUCUGGAGGAAUACCGGUGGCGAAGGCGGCAUCCUGGACCGGCAUUGACGCUGAGGAGCGAAAGCUAGGGGAGCAAACGGGG